GGAGCUUUGUACUGCUCAAGACAGGAAGCUGGGUUAGACUGCAGAUGUGUCAGAGGCAUAAUUUCCCUAGCUUGCAUUUUGAAGGGUAAUUAUGCUAUACAGGUCACAAUCAUAAUAAAUGAUUCCAUCCAUUUAAUUUGUUUAAUGAAGGUAAACAACAAUUACAGAGGGUGAAUGAAGUCAAAGCUACUUUAUGACUUGAGGGGGUAAUAAUACUUUUUGCAUUCUUACAGAACAUGGACAUCCAAUACCGGCUACAGAUUUGCAGUAUUUUGGCAGGUUUAAGAUGUCUCAUGGAACCACAUAAAAAUCUGAAGCAAUGUGAGCCAUCAGGAUAUAUAUUUUUGUGUAUUAUUUAUUGAAAAAGGAAAAGUACAAGAUUACAAACGUACAGAAAAAACAGGAAGAAACAAGAAAUGGUGCCCAUGUAGAAAACAAAACAGAACAACAAAAAUGAUAUAUAUCAGGAUGCAUGCAAUAGUAUAUGAGAUACUCUUAUUUUGUUACAUUGAGCUGCUCAAGGUUUGUUGGCAACUGUGUAUGAAAACUGGUAUGCAAUUAAAAAAUAUAAUUUAUUCAUUAAAUUCAUUUGCCACCUGUCAACAACAGGGCAGCAUACGCCAAUCAAAGCAAUGCAUACAAUGAAACCAUACCAAUAUACUGAUUUUUUAAAAAAUACUCUGCUUUUACAAAAAACAAAAAACAAACCAAAAGCCCAUGUUUAAUAUUCAAAAUGUCCAAGAGCAGAGAUCUGGACUGUGCUGAGAACGUUCUGACACUACCCUUCAGGUGGGACAUGGGGAAACAGAGAACAGGGCCGGACCUUCCAUUUGGCAGAGUGAAAUGACAGCCUCAGGUGGCAGAUUCAGGGGAAGCAGCAGCAGCACAUGGCUGCCCCUCCUGUGCCUCCCAAUGAUUGCUCUGUGGCUGCUCAACCUGUCUUGGGAACCCAACUCUGGCUUGCUGCCUCAGGUGCUGUGGAGGAUUCUAUCCCAUCCAGCGGCGUAGCAUGGGUUGUCAGCACCCGGGGCAAGGCAAGUAAUUUGCGCCCCCUAACCCGGGGCAAGGCAAGUAAUUUGCACCCCCAAACCCCUAACCUGCAGCUUCUUCUUGCUGCUGCCUGGUCUGGUCUGGUGUGGUUCUCUCCCGCGCUCAGUGCUGCGCUGGGCGGCCGCUGCACUGUCCCUCCCCCAGAUAGUCCCUUGCUCUCUCUCCGCACCGCACGCCUGGCACCCACCCCCUCCACAGUGGGCGGCGACCCAGCGGCUCGGAUCGGAUUCGCACAGCCAGCACUGCAGUGAGAGAGAGUGAGUGAGCCAGGUAGGGGCAGAGAGCUGCGAGUGCAAGCACGCCCCCCCCGAUGUUGCGGCCGGUGCGGCCGGCCCCCCUGCACCCCCCACGCUACGCCACUGAUCCCAUCACCAGUGCAAGUAAGAUUCAGCUGCCAGCCCAGCUAGCUCCUGUCCUUGAAAUGGGAAGGGGGUGCCAUCUUGAAGCAGUAAAAUGUAUUGGGCAGGCCCUGUCUAAGGGAACAAACUUCCAGAAGAGGAGGAGCGAACUUAUGGCCCUCCAGAUUUAUUGGACUCCAUCUUCCACCAGUUUGUUAAGGGUUCUUGGAACUGUAGCUCUCUGAGGGGUGAACUACACUUCCCAGGGUUCCUUGGGGGAAGCCAUGUGCUUUUUUUUUUUUAAGUGAACUUCAUGCAUAUCCCUAGUCCUGAAUCUUCCCAUUCUCCAGGCUUCAUUGGAUGACCCCCAUUAGAUUCUAAUAUCAUGGGAACUUGGGGAAUUUGCUAUUAAGUUGAAAUUUGCAAGAUCCAGCAAUUACGAACCGCAAGCUAUGUGGAAUCCAGUGGCCAACCUAUUUAGCUUGAAAUUGCUUUGCCACCUUUGCAGCACCUUCUGCAUGUUUCCCUGUGGUAUUUUUAGAACUGGGGUCAUGCAAGGCCCUCUGGGACAAUAAUUCUCACCUCAGACCAGUAGUUCCAUGGAGGUGGGAGAACGUACACAGAAGGCUCAGUGUUUGGUUUGAACAAGGACGGCUCAGUUUGUCGAUCAGCUACAAGCAUGCCAGUGUUUCCGCACAGAAAUAAGAAAUGCUGCAAAUUGGGGAGGGAGGGGAGGAAAAGAAAGGUCGGUUAUUCAAGCACCAAGAAAUCAGGUGAUGCCAUAAUGACUGGUGUUUGUCUCGGAGGCUGGUUGAGAAAGAAAAAGACAGUGCUUAAAAAUGUGGUGCUGAUAACAUUAGAAGGAGGCUGUUUAGUGCAAAUUUGCACACAGGUCAUAGAAUCAUAGAACUGAAGAGUUGGAAGGGACCCUGAGGAUUAUCUAGUCCAACCCACGGCAAGGCAGAAAUAUGCAGCUGUCCCAUAUUAGACAGAGAGCCAGUGUGGUGUAGUGGUUAAGAGCGGUGGACUUGUAAUCCGGUGAACCGGGUUCACGUCUCGACUCCUCCCAGCGGCAUAGCGUGGGUUGUCAGCACCCGGGGCAAGGCAAGUAAUUUGUGCCCCCUAACCCCUAACCUGCCGCCGCUGCCAGCUUCUUCUUGCUGCUGACUGGUCUGGUCUGGUGUGGUUCUCUCCCGCGCUCAGCGCUGCGCUGGGCGGCCGCUGCACUGUCCCUCCCCCAGAUAGUCCCUCGCUCUCUCUCCGCACCGCACGCCUGGCACCCAUCCCCUCCACAGUGGGCGGCGACCCAGCGGCUCGGAUCGGAUUCGCACAGCCAGCACUGCAGUGAGAGAGAGUGAGUGAGUCAUGUAGGGGCAGAGAGCUGCGAGUGCGAGUGAGCCCCCCCCCCCCCGAUGUUGCGGCCGGUGCGGCCGGCCCCCCUGCACCCCCCACGCUACGCCACUGACUCCUCCACAUGCAGCUGCUGGGUGACCUUGGGCCAGUCACACUUCUCUGAAGUCUCUCAGCCUCACUCACCUCACAGAGCAUUUGUUGUGGGCGAGGAAGGGAAAGGAGAAUGUUAGCCGCUUUGAGACUCCUUCGGGUAGUGAUAAAGCGGGAUAUCAAAUCCAAACUCUUCUACUCUUCAUAUGUGGAUCGAACCCACAACCUUGGCAAUAUCAGCACCAUGCUCUAACCAAUGGCUCAAAUCAAUUUUACAUAUACAACUUUCUUCUCUUUUCUUAGUGCUAAAUGCAUAAUCUUUAAAAACAUUAUUCAAUGCCACUUUGUUAGUUUUGAGCCUUCAGGGCUCAAGCAGCAUUUAAAUCAACCUAUGAUUCUGUCUCACAAAUCCUGGUGCUCUACAGAUGUUUUGUCUCCAGGGAGACAGCUGGAGCUGAUGGGGGCUGUUGUUCAAAACCUCUUGAGGACACCAAACAGCGGAAGGAUGAUUUGAAAGUAUCCCAAUUCACCCUAAUAGACCCUGCGUCUUAGCUGCAGUUGCAAUGGUCCACUGAUGUGAUACCUAUUGCUUGCAAGGUCAGAAAUGCCCUUUUCAGGCCCAGAUGUUAUACAACCCUCCUAGCUGCACCAAUGUACAGUGUACAGCUGCUAUCACACAGCACCGAGGUGGAGAAACUCAUUGUUCUCCAGCUGUUCGUGGACUCCAGCUCCCAUAAACACCAGCCAGCAGGGCCCAAUAGUCAAGGUGGUCCAGCAAAAUCUGGAAAACCACAGUUGCGCCACCAGUCACCUGGGCUGUGGUGUUUUUCAUGCUCAUUAGAAUUUCUCAUCCUGACAUUUUUUUUGCAGACACUGAUCUACAAUUUCAAAGUAUUGGUUCUAGGACUGUUGCUUUGAUUGGCUUAGCUAGUUGUAUUCUCUAGAACCCCUAGGUUGACUUUGUUGGGGGGGGGAUGCUAAUCGUUUGGCACACUCUAGGAGUUGAAAUACAUAAAUAACUAAAUAACACUGGAAAAGCCAGCUGACAUUUGUGAUCUGGCUGCCAGACGACGUUCAGAAUUAAAGCGUUCAAAUGAAGGUUCAGAGUUGCCUUUUCACCAAAGAUUAUCAGUGAUCUUUUUAGAUUAGUUCAAGGACUUUGUGGCAAUGUUUUAUGGGGGGAAAUGUAGGAAUUAAGCUCAGUUUUGCAGAGGUUUGUCUACAGUAUACAAAUGUUUCUCAGGGACAUGGCCAGCUAUUCCGGUUUUGAUGUCAAGAGGUUAUGAAAUUAAGUCCUGCCUUUUUCUGCCUGCAUUGCAGAAGCAGUCAAGUAGAGCAGGUAAGGAGGAAGGGAGAGAGGGGAGCAGCACAUCUGGGUAAAAGGUGAGGUGUCAUAACUGGUACUGUAUACAAGAUGGCUAAGGCUCUCAUGCAUUCUUCUGUGAGCUGUUUCCCUAUAUUGUGUCCUCUAUUCCAGGAAUCCCUGUAUUGCAGUCACAUUAUACAGACCUGCGUGAUGUGUAAUUAAGCAAGUUUGUGUGGGCAGAACAGGUCAAAUUUUAUUUGGUUACUUGGUAGGUAGCACGCAGUGUUGCAAUAGGAGAGAUUGCUAGGCAGCUAUGAGAGUGAUUGGGUGCUUGAAGGAAGUGAAUGAAUGCUUCUGCAAAAUUGUUCCAUAUAAGAUCUGGUGUUGUUCAUGGGACUUAAUGCAGUACAGUUAUUAUUCAGCUGAUAGGUAAAGGUAAAGGGUAAAGGGACACCCGACCAUUAGGUCCAGUUGUGGCCAACUCUGGGGUUGCGGCGCUCAUCUUGCUUUAUUGGCCAAGGGAGCCGGCAUACAGCUUCCGGGUCGUGUGGCCAGCAUGACUAAGUCGCUUCUGGCGAUCCAGAGUAGCGCACGGAAACGCCGUUUACCUUCCCGCCGGAGCAGUACCUAUUUAUCUACUUGCACUUUGACAUGCUUUCGAACUGCUAGGUUGGCAGGAGCAGGGACCGAGCAACGGGAGCGCACCCCGUCACAGGGAUUCAAACCGCUGACCUUCUGAUUGGCAAGUCCUAGGCUCCGUGGUUUAACUCACAGCGCCACCCGCGUUCAGCUGAUAAUUUUGCGUUAAAAGUUUUCCAUACGCUCACUAUAAUGGAUAUAAGCUAUUACAGUCAUACCUUGAUUCUUGAACGCCUUGGUACUCAUACGUUUUGGGUCCCAAACGCCAAAAACCCGGAAGUAAGUGUUCUGGUUUUUGAAUGUUCUUUGAACCCGAACAUCUGACGCAGCUUCCAUGGCUUCUGAUUGAGUGCAGAAAGCUCCUUCAACCAAUCGGAAGCCGCACCUUGGUUUUUGAAUGUUUUUGGAAGUCGAUUGGACUUCCGGAACGGAUUACGUUAGAGAACCAAGGUACAACUGUAACUGGGAAAAGCCCAUAAAUGUCCCUGUGUGGAGCUCCUUCUGAGGAGUCCCUCCCUGGACUGCCUCCUGGACCAUCCUGGGAUCUUCAGAUGAAGGGCGGUAUACAAAUUUUAAUGAUGAUGAUGAUGAUGAUGACGAUGAUGUUGAUGCAAAGUCCAAAAAUUUUGCCUGGUUUCCAGUAUUCUAUUAAGUAAAGCUAGAAUGUUUAUAGCAGGCAAUAAUAUGAUUUUCACUCAGUGCAAGUAGCCUAUGUAUAAGCCAUACAGUUGCUGAGCAUAGCUUCAGUGUGUGGUUUGAUAGUGUGUAUGUGUUUUAUGGCCUCUGCUCUACCCCCUUGGCUCUUUCUCAUGUUAUCUAAGAUUUAUAUGCUGCUUAAUUAAAAAGAAAAAAAGAAAUCUAAGUUGCUUACACGAAAUAAUACAGAAUAUUCAGAAAAUACCAACAAAUCUAAACUUUAAAAACAAGCAGGCAUCAUGCAAUUGUCAACAUAUGGAUAAAAUCAACAGCUCUGCAUAACAAAAUCACAGGACUGUCUACAGAGAAGAAAGACGUAGCAGGCAUCAGAAAGCUAUCAUUAUCGAUAGACAGGAAGUAUGGGCGAAGAGGUGCUGCAGCAAUUAAAAGUGACUUUGUAUCAGAUGCAGAGCAAACAUUGUGGGCAAUUGUGAAAGUGCCAAUUCCAGAGAUGAAAGUGGUUGAGUGGGUCCAUAUCGGGGUGUGGUGAUCGUUCAAGAAAGCAUCUCCCAAACUGUGGAGGGUUAUCAGUGUUGAGGGUUAUUGAAUUUCACCUGAUAAGAAGUUGGCAGCUCAUGCAGAUCUUUGAUGUGUUGUAAUCUGCUGAUGGGGGUCAGGGGUGAUCAGCAGUGGGGGAGGGGCAAUCCAUCCAUGGGGGCACUGUGGCGAUCAGCGCACUUGGUGAGCUGCCAUUGGAGUCCGCUUGGCGGAUGCAAGCCCCAUGCUGCCUUUUCAGGUAAGUGCCAACCCCCACGGUGUGCCAUUUUGUCACACACACACCCCUCAAGAAUGACACCCAGGGUGGGCUGCACCCUCCACACACCCCUUCCUACACCCCUGAUGGGGGUCUCACUCCUGCCAGCAAUUCUGCUAACUGCAAUUUCCAGACCCAGCACAGUGGAAGCCCCACACGGAAUGCAUUGCGGUAAUCCAUUUCUCGGGAGCAUAGUGAUGUAGAAAUCACACACCUUCACACAUUUCCCCAAGAAAUCACACACCUUCAUAUAUUACCCAUAAGGAACCUAUGUUGAUAAAUGUGUUCCUAAAACCAGAAGUGUCAUUAUGUGCCAAAGAAAACCCACACCUGACUUUAUCACAAAAGUUUGUCUUUAUUUACUUUAUUUUGCUGUUUGUUUUACAUAAAGUUAUUUGCCUCUGCAAACCUUUUAUUUUACUAUAAGUGUUUAGUUACACGUCUUUAGAAGGAUACAAUCUCCAUACAUCUUAUCUGAACUCAAUAAAGAAAUUGUAGAGAAACAUCAAUUGUUGUUAAGCAAACCAUUGAAACGAUGUAUAAAUAUAUAUUCCAUGUAGUUUUUGUUUGUAACUGUAUUUUGGUCGUAACAAAAAGCAAUGUAUCUUUUGACCACAGAUUUCCCAGAGGAGAAAUCUUCUGAUCAUAACCUUCUUCCUCUGCAAUUCCAGCAACUUUGCAUCAACACUGAGCCUGCAGCAAACAAGAAGAAUUAACUCCCAUAUCACACCCAGUUUCUAAAAACCGGACUCCAUUGUGUCCCCGGAAUCCAACUAUCAACCUACCUUUUAAACCCACCAGGACUCUUUUGCACCUACCUUGCCUGCCAAAUGUAAAUUAGUUUGCACCUGUGUGUUUUUGUUUCUGCACCUGUGUAAUCGUUUUUGGACUCCUCACCUAUGUACCCACAUAUAACCCAAUCUCUCACACCCACAACCCAAAAAUGUAGUGUACCUACCUUACCAUAGUAAAUGAAAGUGUUACUCACCUGUAGAUGGGGUUUUUCCUUUUGCUUUGCCUUGGGGGUACCCAGUUGCAACUGAAAUAAAGGAUCCAUAGCUUAA